rfam:Leifsonia xyli strain SE134, complete genome.
CGCGUUCAUCCAUUCACAACGGAUCGUCCGGCACGUACCUGCCGGUGAAGGAGACAGAA